rnacentral:rRNA from 1 species
GACAUACUAAGAACUUUCCAGAGAUGGAUUGGUGCCUUCGGGAACUUAGAUACAGGUGCUGCAUGGCUGUCGUCAGCUCGUGUCGUGAGAUGUUGGGUUAAGUCCGCAACGAGCGCAACCCUUUUCCUUAUUUGCCAGCGGGUAAUGCCGGGAACUUUAAGGAUACUGCCAGUGACAAACUGGAGGAAGGCGGGGACGACGUCAAGUCAUCAUGGCCCUUACGGCCAGGGCUACACACGUGCUACAAUGGUCGGUACAAAGGGUUGCUACCUCGCGAGAGGAUGCUAAUCUCAAAAAGCCGAUCGUAGUCCGGAUCGCAGUCUGCAACUCGACUGCGUGAAGUCGGAAUCGCUAGUAAUCGCGGAUCAGAAUGCCGCGGUGAAUACGUUCCCGGGCCUUGUACACACCGCCCGUCACACCAUGGGAGUUUGUUGCACCAGAAGUAGGUAGUCUAACCGCAAGGAGGACGCUUACCACGGUGUGGCCGAUGACUGGGGUGAAGUCGUAACAAGGUAGGCGUAGAUGA